AGAUAGAGAGCGUAACUGAUUGACAGCAACAUCUGUAACCGCCUGGUAGUGGGCUGUUCAGAGCCGCGUGGAGUUUGUUAUGGAGAGUAGUGGUGUCAGGGAUCAUUCAGGGCCACGUGGAGUUUGUUACGGAGAGUGGAGUAGUGUCCAUUGUCACGACUUGCCAGAGAGUGGUAGAGCUCGAAGAAUGGAGUGAUGUCCGUUGUCACGACUUGCCAGAGAGUGGUGGAGCCACGUAAAAUCCGUUGCAGAG
rnacentral:lncRNA from 1 species